rnacentral:tRNA from 1 species
GGUAUUGUGUAAUGGUAGCACAGCAGACUCUGACUCUGUAUGUGGAGGUUCGAAUCCUUCUACCG